CUCCCUUGGUGUGACCGAGAACUCCACUAGUGUCAGGAGGCCACAGCGCUCAGUGAGCCCCUGCAUCCUCUACCAGGGCCUGCGUCUCUCCAGGCAGCACCUGUGGAAGGCAACUACCAUGUGCUGGUCACUGCCACAGCGGGAGGAGUCAGAGGUGAGGAAAUCUCAGUCCCAGAGCAGGGACUGGCAGCAGAGACAGGAGGUUUUUAGAGACUCUUCGGCCACAGCGGGACCAACAGCCCAGCUUGCCCAGCACUGAGUGGGCCUCAGAACACAGAGCUGCCAGUUUUCAAAGCAGGCUUCAGGGCUCAUACAUCCAGUAAGGAAACUGGAAUUACAGUCGCUCCCUGCGGCGAGGACCCAGCAGGAGAGCCCGGGCUGAGAGCGGGAAGGCGUCUCCAGGAGCCACACCGAGGGUUAUCAGCAGAAAACACACGCCUGAAUGGGCGUGUCGGUGGAGCUGAGCCUGUCGCCUCAUCCAGUGCCACGGAGGAGCCCUCGCGGUGUCUCCCUGCAGAGGUCACACUGGGGUCACAACUGAGGCUGCCUUGGGCAAGGGCCAACCGCAAGGCUGUUUCUGAAACCAUAAAGUACCAAGAGAAUGCCCUGUGUUACAAUUAAUAAAUAGCAUUGUUAAUCGACGUGAACAAAGCCGGCCUUCAUUGCUUUAUUUGGUGGCCCAUUUGGUGAAGCACUUAAGAAGAGUCCUGGCCAACAUACACACAUC
rnacentral:lncRNA from 1 species